rnacentral:rRNA from 1 species
GACGAACGCUGGCGGCCCGUCUAAGACAUGCAAGUCGAACGAGCGAGAGAGAGCUUGCUCCCUCAAGCGAGUGGCGAACGGGUGAGUAACGCGUGAGGAACCUGCCUCAAAGAGGGGGACAACAGUUGGAAACGACUGCUAAUACCGCAUAAGCCCACAGCUCGGCAUCGAGCAGAGGGAAAAGGAGUGAUCCGCUUUGAGAUGGCCUCGCGUCCGAUUAGCUGGUUGGUGAGGUAACGGCCCACCAAGGCGACGAUCGGUAGCCGGACUGAGAGGUUGAACGGCCACAUUGGGACUGAGACACGGCCCAGACUCCUACGGGAGGCAGCAGUGGGGAAUAUUGCACAAUGGGGGAAACCCUGAUGCAGCGACGCCGCGUGGAGGAAGAAGGUCUUCGGAUUGUAAACUCCUGUUGUUGAGGAAGAUAAUGACGGUACUCAACAAGGAAGUGACGGCUAACUACGUGCCAGCAGCCGCGGUAAAACGUAGGUCACAAGCGUUGUCCGGAAUUACUGGGUGUAAAGGGAGCGCAGGCGGGAAAGCAAGUUGGAAGUGAAAUCCAUGGGCUCAACCCAUGAACUGCUUUCAAAACUGUUUUUCUUGAGUAGUGCAGAGGUAGGCGGAAUUCCCGGUGUAGCGGUGGAAUGCGUAGAUAUCGGGAGGAACACCAGUGGCGAAGGCGGUCUACUGGGCACCAACUGACGCUGAGGCUCGA